UACGUAGGUGGCAAGCGUUGUCCGGAAUUAUUGGGCGUAAAGCGCGCGCAGGUGGUUUCUUAAGUCUGAUGUGAAAGCCCACGGCUCAACCGUGGAGGGUCAUUGGAAACUGGGAAACUUGAGUGCAGGAGAGAAGAGUGGAAUUCCACGUGUAGCGGUGAAAUGCGUAGAGAUGUGGAGGAACACCAGUGGCGAAGGCGACUCUUUGGCCUGUAACUGACACUGAGGCGCGAAAGCGUGGGGAGCAAACGGG
rnacentral:rRNA from 1 species